rnacentral:rRNA from 1 species
CAGCAGCCGCCACGGGAAUACAGAGGGUGCGAGCGUUAAUCGGAUUUACUGGGCGUAAAGCGUGCGUAGGCGGCUAAUUGAGUCGGAUGUGAAAUCCCCGAGCUUAACUUGGGAAUUGCAUUCGAUACUGGUUAGCUAGAGUGUGGGAGAGGAUGGUAGAAUUCCAGGUGUAGCGGUGAAAUGCGUAGAGAUCUGGAGGAAUACCGAUGGCGAAGGCAGCCAUCUGGCCUAACACUGACGCUGAGGUACGAAAGCAUGGGGAGCAAACAGGAUUAGAUACCCCAGUAGUCCCUGUCUCUUAUAC